UCUCAAUUGAUCUCAGUGAGCUGGCUGUCGUCUACAGAAGUUCAGGCUGGUUUCUGGCUGCGAGGCUGGAACGGGGCUCCCUGCCCUUCAGAUUUCAAGACCGCAUGGUUCUACUGCACGUUUGAACUGCCCUCCCUCCAGCUAGAGGUGCUGACCCCAGCAACUCACCAGCUUCUGCCAACUGCUGACUCUUUAUUGGAGGGAUUCUCUUCACACUCUCAGCGGGCUUUGAUUCUCAACGAGACUGAGUGGCGGCUCUCUCUCGGCUGCUCACCACCCAGUUAUCUUCCUGGCUCAGAAUGAUGGCCCUUCUGCUCUCUGUCGUUUGAGAUCACAUCAAGGCCAGAAAGACUCCUACAGCUUCCUUUCAGUGUUUACAGAAGGGUUUAAUGUGUCUCUCUCUUCAUCCUUUGAUAUCAAAAGGUUCAGUCAACAAAACCAUGAGGAUUACAGGGCUGGUUAUCAAGAAAUUAUUAAUAACAAAGUUCUGUGCAAAGUCAACAAAACAAGUUUGACAGAUUUAUACAUACCUCUAAUGUAUUUGCUUAACAACAGAGAAAUUUUCUAACCCAAC
rnacentral:lncRNA from 1 species